AUUUAAAUAGCUUAUAAAGAGCAUGACAUUGAAGCUGUCAAGGAGAUUGGAACAAUCUUUAAAUA
rnacentral:tRNA from 1 species